rnacentral:rRNA from 1 species
GAUGAACGCUGGCGGCGUGCCUAAUACAUGCAAGUCGAGCGAACGGACGAGAAGCUUGCUUCUCUGAUGUUAGCGGCGGACGGGUGAGUAACACGUGGAUAACCUACCUAUAAGACUGGGAUAACUUCGGGAAACCGGAGCUAAUACCGGAUAAUAUUUUGAACCGCAUGGUUCAAAAGUGAAAGACGGUCUUGCUGUCACUUAUAGAUGGAUCCGCGCUGCAUUAGCUAGUUGGUAAGGUAACGGCUUACCAAGGCAACGAUGCAUAGCCGACCUGAGAGGGUGAUCGGCCACACUGGAACUGAGACACGGUCCAGACUCCUACGGGAGGCAGCAGUAGGGAAUCUUCCGCAAUGGGCGCAAGCCUGACGGAGCAACGCCGCGUGAGUGAUGAAGGCCUUCGGAUCGUAAAACUCUGUUAUUAGGGAAGAACAUAUGUGUGAGUAACUGUGCACAUCUUGACGGUACCUAAUCAGAAAGCAACGGCUAACUACGUG